UACACACCGCCCGUCACACCAUGGGAGUUGAUUGCACCAGAAGUAGGUAGCCUAACCGCAAGGGGGGCGCUUACCACGGUGUGGUCAAUGACUGGGGUGAAGUCGUAACAAGGUACCC
rnacentral:rRNA from 1 species